rnacentral:rRNA from 1 species
CGGCGGACGGGUGAGUAACGCGUGGGUAACCUGCCUCAUACAGGGGGAUAACAGUCAGAAAUGACUGCUAAUACCGCAUAAGACCACGGUACCGCAUGGUACAGUGGUAAAAACUCCGGUGGUAUGAGAUGGACCCGCGUCUGAUUAGGUAGUUGGUGGGGUAACGGCCUACCAAGCCGACGAUCAGUAGCCGACCUGAGAGGGUGACCGGCCACAUUGGGACUGAGACACGGCCCAA